rnacentral:rRNA from 1 species
GAGUUUGAUCCUGGCUCAGGACGAACGCUGGCGGCGCGCCUAACACAUGCAAGUCGAACGCGGCUUUUCCCGCAAGGGAAAAGCUGAGUGGCAAACGGGUGAGUAACACGUGGGUGACCUGCCUUCGAGUGGGGGAUAACGUUUCGAAAGGAACGCUAAUACCGCAUAACAUCCUGUCUUUUAAGAGAUGGACAUCAAAGCCUGGGACCGCAAGGCCAGGCGCUUGAAGAGGGGCCCGCGUCUGAUUAGCUAGUUGGUGGGGUAAUGGCUCACCAAGGCAACGAUCCGUAACCGGCCUGAGAGGGCGGUCGGUCACACUGACACUGACAUACGGGUCAGACUCCUACGGGAGGCAGCAGUCGGGAAUUUUGGGCAAUGGGCGAAAGCCUGACCCAGCAACGCCGCGUGAAGGAUGAAAUCCCUCGGGAUGUAAACUUCGCAAGAACGGGAAGAAUAAGUAGGGGACAAUACCCCCUAUGAUGACGGUACCGUUUGUAAGCUCCGGCUAACUCCGUGCCAGCAGCCGCGGUAAUACGGGGGGAGCAAGCGUUGUUCGGAUUUACUGGGCGUAAAGGGCGCGUAGGCGGCCAGCACAAGUCAGUUGUGAAAUCUCCGAGCUUAACUCGGAAAGGUCAACUGAUACUGUGCGGCUAGAGUGCGGAAGGGGCAACUGGAAUUCUUGGUGUAGCGGUGAAAUGCGUAGAUAUCAAGAGGAACACCUGCGGCGAAGGCGGGUUGCUGGGCCGACACUGACGCUGAGGCGCGAAAGCCAGGGGAGCGAACGGGAUUAGAUACCCCGGUAGUCCUGGCCUUAAACGAUGAAUGCUUGGUGUCUGGGGUUAUAUAGUCCCCGGGUGCCGUCGCUAACGCUUUAAGCAUUCCGCCUGGGGAGUACGGUCGCAAGACUGAAACUCAAAGGAAUUGACGGGGACCCGCACAAGCGGUGGAGCAUGUGGUUUAAUUCGACGCAACGCGAAGAACCUUACCUGGGCUAGAAUGCCUCUGACAACCCUAGAGAUAGGGCCUCCAAGGUAAAACUUGGCAGAGUGCAAGGUGCUGCAUGGCUGUCGUCAGCUCGUGUCGUGAGAUGUUGGGUUAAGUCCCGCAACGAGCGCAACCCUUGUCCCUAGUUGCUACGCAAGGGCACUCUAGGGAGACUGCCGGUGACAAGCCGGAGGAAGGUGGGGAUGACGUCAAGUCCUCAUGGCCCUUACGGGUUGGGCUACACACGUGCUACAAUGGCGGUGACAGAGGGCAGCUACUUCGCGAGGAGAAGCUAAUCCCUAAAAGCCGUCUCAGUUCAGAUUGCACUCUGCAACUCGGGUGCAUGAAGUUGGAAUCGCUAGUAAUCGCUAAUCAGCAGGUAGCGGUGAUACGUUCCCGGGCCUUGCACACAC